rnacentral:rRNA from 1 species
AGAAUAAUUUAAAGUCGGACCUGCCCAAUGAUUUAAGUAUUUAAUGGCCGCGGUAUUUUGACCGUGCAAAGGUAGCAUAAUAAUUAGUUUUUUAAUUGAAAGCUUGAAUGAAAGGUUUGAUGAGAAAAUAACUGUCUCUAAUUAAAUUUAUUAGAAUUUUAUUUUUAAGUAAAAAAGCUUAAAUUUUUAUUGAAGACGAGAAGACCCUAUAGAGUUUUAUUUUUAUUAAUAGUUGUAAAGUUUGGUUUUAUAUUAAUUAUAUUUACUAAUAAGAAUUUAGUUGGGGUGAUUGAAAAAUUUAAUAAACUUUUUUUAAAUUAAUACAUUAAUAAGUGAGUAUAUGAUCCUAUUUUUUAGAUUAAAAGAUUAAAUUACCUUAGGGAUAACAGCGUAAUUUUUUUUUAGAGUUCAAAUCGAAAAAAAAGAUUGCGACCUCGAUGUUGGAUUAAAAUUAAAAAAUGGUGUAGGAGCUAUAUUUUUGGGUCUGUUCGACCUUUAAAAUUUUACAUGAUCUGAGUUUAGACCGGCGUGAGCCAGGU